ACCGGCGCACGGGUGCGUAACGCGUAUGCAACCUACCUUUAACAGGAGGAUAGCCCCGAGAAAUCGGGAUAACACUCCAUAACACUGCGAAGUGGCAUCACUAUGCAGUUAAAACUCCGGUGGUUAAAGAUGGGCAUGCGUGACAUUAGAUAGUUGGUGAGGUAACGGCUCACCAAGUCUACGAUGUCUAGGGGUUCUGAGAGGAUGAUCCCCCACACUGGUACUGAGACACGGACCAGACUCCUACGGGAGGCAGCAGUAAGGAAUAUUGGUCAAUGGACGCAAGUCUGAACCAGCCAUGCCGCGUGCAGGAAGACAGCCUUAUGGGUUUGUAAACUGCUUUCUAUACAGGAAUAAACCCCCUUUUCGUGAAAGGGGCUGAAAGGUACUUGUACGAAAUAAGGACCGGCUAACUCCCGUGCCCAGCAGCCCGCGGUAAUACGGAGGGUCCCAAGCGUUAUCCCGGAUUUUAUUUGGGUUUUAAAGGGGUGCGCAGGGCGGACCCUAUCAGUCAGUGGGUGAAAAUCUCUCGGGCUUUAACCGGGGAAACUUGCCAUNGAUACUGUAGGUCUUUGAGUUUGGUUUGAAAGUGGGGCGGGAAUGUAGCCUGUAGCGGGUGAAAUGCAUAGAUAUGCUACAGAACACUCGAUCGCGAAGGCAGCUCACUAAACUCAAAACUGACGCUCAGCACGAAAGCGUGGGUAGCGAACAGGAUUAGAUACCC
rnacentral:rRNA from 1 species